UCCGGAGGAUGCAAGCGUUAUCCGGAAUGAUUGGGCGUAAAGCGUCCGCAGGAGGUUGUGUGUGUCUAUUGUCAAAGCAUCAUGCUUAACAUGAUAAAGGCAGUAGAAACUACACGACUAGAGUGCGUUCGGGGCAGAGGGAAUUCCUGGUGUAGCGGUGAAAUGCGUAGAGAUCAGGAAGAACACCGGUGGCGAAAGCGCUCUGCUAGGCCGCAACUGACACUGAGGGACGAAAGCUAGGGGAGAGAAUGGG
rnacentral:rRNA from 1 species